UACGUAGGCGGUUAAAUAAGUCAGGUGUAAAAGGCAUUGGCUCAACCAAUGUAAGCACUUGAAACUGUUUGACUUGAGUAUAGGAGAGGUAAGUGGAAUUCCUAGUGUAGCGGUGAAAUGCGUAGAUAUUAGGAGGAACACCAGUGGCGAAGGCGACUUACUGGACUAUUACUGACGCUGGGGUACGAAAGCGUGGGGAGCAAACA
rnacentral:rRNA from 1 species